UACGUAGGGGGCGAGCGUUGUCCGAAGUUACUGGGCGUAAAGCGCGCGUAGGCGGUUAUUUAAGUUCGGGGUGAAAGGUUCAACGCUCAACGUGAACAGUGCCUUGAAUACUGGGUGACUUGAGUUCGGGAGAGGGCAGUGGAAUUCCUGGUGUAGCGGUGAAAUGCGUAGAUAUCAGGAGGAACACCGAUGGCGAAGGCAGCUGCCUGGCCUAGAACUGACGCUGAGGUGCGAAAGACGUGGGGAGCGAACAGG
rnacentral:rRNA from 1 species